CCUCCCCACAGCAAGUAAUGUAUUAUCAUAUUAACAGUUCUAAAUGGCCCAAAUGUAACUUCAAACCAGUGACAGAAUUACAAGGGAUAACCGAUUAAGUAAAAAAGUCUCAAGGACCUAAUGAUCAUUCCAGCAUUUAGCACUGGCAGAACCAUUAAUUGAUCAAAAUCAACUUUUCAUACGAAUUCAGAAUCCAUUAAACAGGAUUUGCGGAUACUUUCAAUCUCGACAUUGACAAAUACAACAAUUAUUGCCAAAAUUCUGACCUAUAACAUAUUUAUUGCAACCUCAUGUUUAUAACUAUGAUGGGGUUAUUGUCUCCUCAUUAACCAUCCCCAUACACCUUGCCCAGUUCUUCAAUGAGCAAAUGGAUCAAUAAACACGAGCUUUAGGCGGGAAUGAUUCAAUCUCGUCAUCUAAUGUAUUCAUGUGUACUGGCCUGUAAUUGAGUCGGACUUUUUCAUUCUCCCAAUAUCCCAAAGUAUGCUUCAUCCAAUUUUCAUCAUCUCUUUUAGAGAAGUCUUCACGGGCAUGUGCUCCUCUGCUCUC
rnacentral:misc_RNA from 1 species